GUUAAGGUGGCAGAGCUCGGUUACUGCAAAAGACCUAAGCUCUUUCUACGGAGGUUCAAGUCCUCUCCUUAACU
rnacentral:tRNA from 1 species